rnacentral:tRNA from 1 species
GGGGGUGGAGGGGUCCCGGUGGGCCUCGCGGUCUUCAAAACCGUUGCGCGGCCGUGAGUGCGGUCGCGGGUGGGUUCGACUCCCAUGCACCUCCG